UACGUAGGGUGCAAGCGUUAAUCGGAAUUACUGGCGUAAGCGUGCGCAGGCGGCUUUGCAAGACAGAUGUGAAAUCCCCGGGCUUAACCUGGGAACUGCAUUUGUGACUGCAUGGCUGGAGUGCGGCAGAGGGGAUGGAAUUCCGGCGUGUAGCAGUGAAAUGCGUAGAUAUGCGGAGGAACACCGAUGGCGAAGGCAAUCCCCUGGGCCUGCACUGACGCUCAUGCACGAAAGCGUGGGAGCAACAGG
rnacentral:rRNA from 1 species